GCAAGCUCGAGCUCUCUCAGCCCGAGAGAGAGAGAAACCGGACGACCCGCAAGGCAAUCCGAUCACAACUCCGGCGUCCGGACACCGAUCGACGACGGCCGACCACCAUCUUUUUCACCUCUUCGUCGCCUACAACCUCGUGCUCUUGGAUGGUCCAUGCACUGCACGGAGAGGAAAACCCGACGACGAGAAUCUUGAACCAUCACCGGCAACCUCUGCAUUUUCCGGCGAAUCCGGCCAUCGUCUGGGCCGCCUGUGCUACGGCUUUGCCGUGUUCUUGAGCGCCGGCGACUUCUCCGACACUUCUGGGCUCGGUUUCCGUCUUGACUGCGUCUAUUGAAGUGAAAUUGGGAAGCUUGCUGGGUCGAUUGCAUCAGAAGCAUUAGUUCAUCAUCAGUUGAGUUUCGGCAGUGAGUUGAUUUGGUUGGAAUCGAUUUUCCAAGAAUCUAGGACUUCAGUUACCCGAGGAACAGAAGGUUCGCAACUCUCGGAGUACGUGAGAGAAAGCAUCGGAAUCCAGUAUGGAUGCAGGUACUGUGCACUGGUGACGGGACAAUAGCGGACGGAGCUGGGUGUGCGGAACAAGUUCGGUAAAUUCUGUCGUUUAGACCUUGUUCUAAAUUCUAUUUCCCGAACUUCAUUUUCCGAGACCUGUUGAUAGUUAGCCUUGUGUCAGUUUUGGUUGAGUUCUCAUUUCCUUGAAGUUCGUACCUCGUGUGUGAGAAUUCAUUUUAGCAACUCAAGGAUUUUCACCUCAAAAUAUUUGUAUCUUCCGCUGUGUUUUUACAAAAAGUU